UACAGAGGUGGCAAGCGUUGUUCGGAAUUACUGGGCGUAAAGAGCGCGCAGGCGGUCGUUCAAGUCGAGUGUGAAAGCCCCCGGCUCAACUGGGGAGGGUCACUCGAUACUGAUCGACUCGAAGGCAGGAGAGGGAAGUGGAAUUCCCGGUGUAGUGGUGAAAUGCGUAGAUAUCGGGAGGAACACCAGUGGCGAAGGCGACUUCCUGGCCUGUUCUUGACGCUGAGGCGCGAAAGCUAGGGGAGCAAACGGG
rnacentral:rRNA from 1 species